rnacentral:tRNA from 1 species
AGACCCAUAGUGUAAUGGUAGCACACCAGAUUUUGGUUCUGUUCGUCUAGGUUCGAAUCCUUGUGGGUCUA